UUCUCUUCCUCCCCUUCCCGUCUUCUUCGUCUUCCUAUUCUUCUUCUCCUCCUCCUUAUCAUUAUUAUUAUUAUUAUUAUUCUCUUCCUCCUCCUCCCCGUCUUCUUCUUCUUCUUCUUCUUCUUUUCUUCUUCUUCUUCUUUUUCUUUUCUUCUUCUUCUUCUUCUUCUUCUUCUUUUGUCCCUAUUCUAUCUUCUAUUCAAUUUCUUCGUCUUUGCACCCAGUUCCUGUCAUUCAUUUCGUUGACAUUAUUUUCGUAUUAUUCUUUCGCUCUCAUUCCUAUUCUAUUUUCAUUAUUCCGUUCUUUCAUAAUACUUCUCCAAUUCAUUUUUUAUCAUUUCUUUUCGUUCGUUCUUUCGUAAUUAUUCUUACUCCUUCAGUAAUUCAUUCCUUACUUAUUCCCUUGUUUUAAUUCCUAUUUUCAUUCUUGCCUCCAUUAUUUUUCCUUCAAUCUUUUCUUUAUCCACCCACCUGAUUCUAGAUUUCUUUCUUUCUAUCUAUAUUCAUUAUUUCUUACUCUAUUUUAUCUUUCUUCAUUCACUCUCAUUUUCCUUUCUUUCUCUCUUUGUUAAUAUUUUUCUUUCUUUUUCCUAUUCGCUUCUUACAUUUCUUUGCUUUGGAUUGUUUGUUUUUAUAUUUCUUUCUUUAUUCUUCCUCACUGUGUUUUUCUCUAUUUUCCUUUACUUCUUUCAUACAUUUAUAUAUUCCCUUCAAUACACUUUAUUUCGCGUUUUCUUCUAUUCUCUUUCCAAUCUUUUUCGCGCCUUUCAGUUCAUUGUAUUGUCGUUAUCAUUGUUAUUGUUGUCACUGUCGUAGGUUUUGUUCUUAUUAUUAUCAUGGUUAUUAUUUUCGAUAUUAGUAGUCAUCAUAAUAAUGGUGAUGAUCUCUAUAAUAAUAAUAAUAAUAAUAAUAAUAAUAAUAAUAAUAAUAAUAAUAAUAAUAAUAAUAAUAAUAAUGAUGAUGAUGAUGAUGAUAUUUUCUCCUUUCUCUUUUCUAUUUCGCCUUUCACUGCCGCCAUGUUGCCAAUGGACGGCUGUUGUUCUAUAAGAGUUCUCUGGAAGUAAUUAGCUGCUACUAAAAUGGCUGACCAUCCGCUGUGGCGAUUUCUUUCCCCUACGCAAGCCACAUAAAUAAAUAAAUAAAUGAGUAAAUAAAUAAAUUGAGUAGGUGGUGGUGGUGGUGGUGGUGGUCGUGGUGGUCGUGGUGAUGGUGCUAGUGUUGUUGUUGCUGUUGGUGGUGGUGGGUGAAAUAAAGGGAAGAAUAGGUUUAUACGAAUCUCAUUUUAGACAGCUGACACAUUUACAUAGUGUAGCGAAAAAGAGAGCUGAUGCUAGCCAACUCAUGAAUUGGUAUGGUGAUGUGAUUUUGGUCUAGGGUAUUGGCGGUGACGGUGAAGCUUGUGGUGGAGGUAGUGGUGGCACUAAAUGUGGUGAUGGUGGUUGGGAUGGUUGUGGUGAUAGUGGUAGUGGUGGUGAUGAUGGUGGUGGUGGUUGUGGUGGUGGUGGUGGUGGUGAUGCUUGUCGUGAUGGUUGUGGUGAUGGUGGUGACGGUGGUGAUAGUGGUGGUCGUGGUUGUGGUAGUGAUGGUGAUCGUGGUGGUUGUGGUGGUGGUAGUAGUGGCAGUGAUGGUGGUUGUGGUGGUGCUUGUGGAGAUGGUGGUGGUGGUGUUGAUGGUAGUAGUGGUGGUGAUGGUGAUAAUGAUGGUGGUGGAGCUUAUGUUGUUGUUGGUGGUGGUGGUGGUGUUGGAGGUGGUGGAGGGGCGUAGCGGUGGGGACAUGGUGGAGGUGGAGGCGGUGCUGGGGCUUGGCCGUGGAUUUGUGGUUAUGUCAGUAUGGUGAAUAUUGGUCGUAAUGUGAUGGCGUUGGUGUUCCUAGUGGUGGCGAUGGUUGUAUUAGUGGUGUUGGCGUAGGUGUUGGUAUUGCUGAAGAUAGCCUGGCACCACCGGUGGUAGCAUUGUUGGCGGUCGGUAGCUAGUCGUAGUAUUAGUGGUGGUGGUGGUGGUGGUGGUGGUUAUGGGGGUUGUAGUAGUGGCGUUGAUGACGCCAUUGAUGCCGUUAUUUGCAGUGAUCAAGAUUUGGUGCUAGUAUCAGAGAUGACGUUGAUGAUGGUGAUAAUGAUGACGAUGGUGGAUGUGGUCACGAUAUUGUUGGCGGUGGUGAUGGUAGUGGAUGUUGUCACGAUUGUGUUGAUGUUGGAGGUGGUGGUGGUGGUGCGGCUGAUGGUGGUAGUAGUGGUGAUGGUGAUGUUGGUGGUUAUUGCAGUGCUAGUGGCGAUGGUUGUGGUGGUGGUUGCAGUGCUUAUGGUGGAUAUGCUGUUGGCAGUGUUUGUCACGAUGGCAUUGGUAGUUGUGGUUCUGGUGGUGGUCGACGUCGUCGUUGUCGUGGUGGUCGUGGUUCUGAUGGUCGGGGUUCUGGUGGUGGUGGUGGUGGUACUGGUGGUGAUGAUGGUACUGGUGGUGGUGGUGAUGGUAGUGGUGAUGGUGUUGGUAGUGGUGGUGUUGGUUCUGGUGGUGGUGGCGGUGUUGGUGGUGGUAGUGGUGUUGGCGGCGGUGGUGGUGGUUGUAGUGGUAUUUAAUGAAAAGGAAGUGAAUGGUAUAGUUAGCGAUAUUGUUGAUAGUGAAGUAGCGUUAUCCCCGAGAUGGUGGUAACGACGGUGAUGGUCAUCAGCGGAGUGGCGAUGGCGUUGGUGGUUGGGCGCGUAGAUAUUGAUAAUGCGUGUAGUGAUAGCGGUCGGUGUGCUAUGGGAUGUGAUCGCCUUUUGUUUUCCGCAGUUUUGUUACGGGUGGUGGUGUUGGUGACGUUUGUAGUGGCGGUUGUUGUAGUGGUGGUGGUGGCAGAAGUGGUGGUCAUAUGAUUAUUGUUCUUGAUGGAAGAAGUGUUAAUUCAAUCGCUGAUGGUGAUGAUGGUGAUUGGAUAAUUGUUAAGGUGACGCUGAUGGUGGUGGUGGUGCUGCUGGUACUAGUGGUUUGUGAUGGUGAUCGUGGGGAUGGUGGUUGUGGUUGUUGUGGUGCGGAUGGUGGUGAUGGUUGUGGUGGUUGUGGUGGUGAGCUAAUUGUGGGUGUGAUGGCAGUGCUACAUUAAAUAAUGACGAUGUUGAUGCUGUUAAUGGUGGUCGGUGAGAUGGCGCUGGUGGUGGAGGUAGUGGUAGUGCUUGCGCCGAUGACGCUGUCUGUGCAUGUGUGUGCGGUAGUAUUAUAUUUAUUCAUCGUGUUACAUGUAGUAGUAGUAGUAGUAGUAGUAGUAGUAGUAGUAGUAGUAGUAGUGGUAGUAGUGGUGAUGGUGGUGGUGGUGGGGUGCUGAUGAUGGCGUGGUGGUGAUAGAAUAAUAGUGAUAGUAGUAGUAGUGGUGGUGGUGGUGGUGGUGGUGGUGGUGGUAGUAAUAGCAGCAGCAGCAGUAGUAAUUGUAGUAGUAGUAGUAGUAGUAGUAGUAGUAGUGAUGGUGGUAGCGUUGGACAUUUUCGUUCGUUGUGACCUGGGAGAUACUUUUGUUGUUUUCACUUGCAUUAAAUUUGCAGAAAAUGUUGCCGUAAUUGUUGUUGUUGUUGUUGUUGCUGUUGUUGUUUUGCUGUUGUCAGAAGUUCUGAUGGUUGCGGUGGUGGUGGUGGUGGUGGUGGUAAUGGUGUAAGGUAGUAUUGUUCAUGCUGUUGUUGACAGUGACACAACGGAAAGGAGAAGCGCUGUGUGCAUGGAACUACGCGAAAGACGGAUCUCCGAUGCUGAUCAUGCUAACUCAAGGUAACAUCGAUGACGGUGGCACAAAUAUGUCAAAAGGUAUUGCAGGAUCUUUCUGGAUUUUCUUCACUGUUUCCAAUUUUAUUCCAAUUGCUUUCAAAUUUGAUAGAUUAAGUUUUGUAUAUUAAUUAUGAAAAUGAAAUUCAUUUUCCCUAUAGGCGCAGGAGUGGCUGUGUGGUAAGUAGCUUGCUUACCAACCACAUGGUUUCGGGUUCAGGCAAGUGUCUUCUAGUAUAGCUUCUGGUUGACCAAAGCUUUGUGAGUGUGGAUUUGGUAGACGGAAACUGAAAGAAGCCCGUCGUAUAUAUAUAUAUAUGCGCGCGCGUGUGUGUGUGUGUUUGUGUGUUUGUGUUUGUUCCCCCAACAUCGCUUGACAACCGAUGCUGUCACUUAGUAGUUCGGCAACAGAAACCGAUAGAAUAAGUACUAGACUUACAAAUAAUAAGUUCUGGGGUCGAUUUACUCGACCAAAAUGUGGUGCUCCAGUAUGGCCGCAGUCAAAUGACUGAAACAAAUAAGAUAAAAGAAUAAAAAUGAAUACAUUAUUAAAAAGUUAUUACCCUAAACAGUUUGCAAAUUUUGGGUAUUUUAGCCAAUGAGAAGCGAGUAUUUUACAAAUCACCGUGGCGAAGGUCUCUUUUCCCAUAGUAACCAAAGAUGCUGUGCAUGCGCACAAGGAAGAGAAGGGGAUACGAGGAAGAUAAUCUUCUACUAUAAUAAUACUCUUGUGAUUUUCUAUAUCACAACAUAUAAAUGAGAAAGGAAGGGGUGAUAGAUGAAUAAGGAGGGAGGGAAGGGGUAAUAGCAGACUGGCUGUGGGAGCGUUUCAAAUCUGUGUGACUAUAUGUGUGUGUAAAAGGGAGCUAUGUGAUUGUUUGAAUGUGUAUGAUGGUGUGUGUGUAAAAGGGAGCUAUGUGAUUGCUUGAAUGUGUAUGAUGGUGUGUGUGUGCAUAUGUGUAUGUGAGGGUGUGCAUGUGUGUGUGUGUGUAAAGAAACCACUAAACAACAUUGACAAGUGUAUUAAUUUGAUUUACCAUUCAUACUUAUGUGUAAAAUACUACAAUUAGCCGUCAUUUUUUAUGGCACGGGGCCGGUUAGUUUAUUUUCUAAAAUCCUAGAGUGUAUUGCAAACUUUCGCUCUUGAAUUUUUUAAACCAAUAAAUGUUUGUUCUCAAAAAUGUUUUGACUGUUGUUUCUAGCAAUUCCUGUUGGUUUGUUUGUUCGUAGCUUUUAAAUAUUUAAUGUUAAUUCGUGUAUAUUUUAAUGUUUUGACUGUUCUUUCUAGAUUUUCUAGCAAUGCCGAUGUCCCC
rnacentral:lncRNA from 1 species